UAGCUGCAGCCCAUCCACAAAUUGCUUUCCAGGUUCAUCAAUGCUCCUCGCACAGCUCCCUCCUGAGAACAUGGCCCUUCGUGCAUCUGGGUCCUCCACUGGAUAAUGACUCCCUCCUCAGAUGAACUCCUUUCGUUUGUUUCCCCAGCACCCCUGCCCUUCCAGCUUCAGCAGGAUGAGCACCGAGUCCC
rnacentral:lncRNA from 1 species